ACGAUCAUGUGCCCUUCUGUCCUGUUGCAGUUGAAAGGCCUGACUUUUGGGGACCAGUUCAAGCCACUUGAGGAGAACCUCUGCAACGGCAGUACUCUGAGUUAUGGGAACUCAUUUGGACAAGAGUUGCUAGUUCUGAUCCUUGUUCUUCCUGGUAGACAAGAUAGGAGGCGACUCGAAAUCUAGAACCUAGAUAUUCAAAUAGAGAGGUCCAAAUUCUUUAGAUACAUAAUAUGCUAAGUUGCCUACUUUUGCAUGUGUUGUGUGGGUUACAUUCUUGCAGAUGUGCUUCUUUAUCAAAUGAGCUGUCAAUCAUUUAUUU